CGACUUUUAUACGGUUGCCUCUGAAGGUUUUUAUGUGGCGAAUCAGUGGCCGCUAACACUAAUUAAAAGUAUAUAAAAAAAUCCACUCCUAUUAUUAAAUGAAAAAAAAUCACAGAUUGGUGUAGGUCUUCUUCUCCUUGCUCGUUGCUCUCUAAAACUUUUCCCACUCAAUUUCCUCUCUUAUCAAAUCUCUCGAAUCUAACUGCUCAAAUCACAAAUUGUGACCCAUCUGAUAGCAAAGCAAAAGCCCUAAUCAAAAAAUGUGACUCCAUCAGGUAUGUGCUCUAAUCUUAAACUCAAAUUCCUUUUCGGUGGUAUAUACAGUUAGCGAGAAUGAUAAUUUCAACGAUUUCACAUAGGAUUUUCACAGACUUCACCUAUAAUUUCUCUGACCCAGUUGAAAAACUAUAGGAACGAAAAGAAAUUCAUACAAUAACAAUCCAUGGUGAGGAGUCAGCGGGGAUUUUGGGUUUUCAGUCUGAUGCUCAACUUUUCUCGGCCUCCGAAAAAAAUUAGUAAACUAUUUUUUGAUCCGCUGUCUUGAUAACACUCUCCAAUCUCUCCCUAUCUCUUUCUCUAGCAAAAUCGAGUAGUAAUUCUGUAUUAAUCAUAAAAGUUGGGUUGUUCUUUUCUUGGUAGCAGAAGCACGAACAUUCGUAGUUUUUGGGUUUUUUUUUUUUUUUUUAUUUUUUUAGGGUUAUUGUUGUUUCAGUUUGUUCUGUUAGUAGAGAAAGGAACUAAGAGUAUUUGUAUUGGCGGAAAGAGGAGGAAUAAAAGUUCAGGUAGUGAUUGAGAGAACAUUGAAGGAAAUAUCAAAUGGUAAUUUUGUUCUUGACAUGAAGAAUAAAUGUGGUGUUGGAGGUAUUGAGGUUAUGUUUUUAGAAGAUAGAGCUACUGAAGAUUAGCCUAUCACCCCAUGAACCUUUUCUGUUGCCAGGUAAUCCAAACUAUUUGUUGACUAAUUCUUUGAUUGUCUAGCUUUCGCUUAACGUUGCUAUGGACUGUGUUAACUUUUCCUGCUAUACCCCAAAAGAAUAUGAUAGUGCUUCAUAUUUAAUUGUGCAAUAUUUAGUUAUCUAUAAACUAAAAUAGUGGGAUGUAAUGUGUAGUUGAAAAUAGUGUUAUUAUCCUCUUUUUUCUUUAGAUUAAGUUCUAUUCAGUUAGUUUCCUGCUCCAGGAGAACCAUUUAGUUAUCAUUGAUUUAUGCAGCUGGAUUUAUUAAUUAAUGGGUGUUUGGUUAUGAAAAUAAUUGAUUUAGUUUAUGUGAAGUUGUCAACUAUUAGUCCUUCUUGACAGUCAUCUUUAUAGAGUUGUGUUGAUAUAACUUUUUAUGGGAUUCACACUACAACAAAGGACUUGCCUUCCCUGUGGUGGAGAGAGAUGCUAUCACGCGACCUUCUACCUCAUAAUUCUUCAGGUCAAGAACUUGCCUUCUCUGUUUCAAGCCAAGAACUUCAGGUCAUUUCAUAAUUCUUGACUUAUAACCUUGAGUUCGUUCUUCCAUUUCCACUCAUAAUAAGACUGGUAAUAUUUUCUGUCAAAUAUCAGGAGAAGAAAUUAAUGCACAAUUUCUUUCAAUAUUAAGUUUCCUCGUAAGGAUACAUGGCUAUGUGGUUCUUCAGGUAGUCUUACCUCUCACUAUAGCAGUGAAAAUUUCACAUCAUGUUCAUUAUAUGAACUUAAAUGGAGUUGGUAUGAGGUUAGAGAUAGCAUGGUUAUAUUGUCCAUCACGUUAAUGGAAUUACCUUGUAGCAUGGCUAUAUGGUCAUAUAUGUUUAAUUUUCUCGUUCUCCUUUUUAUUUUAUCAUGUUUUUUCCUUUUUGUGCCCUCUAGAACAAAUGAUUUAAGCUCCCAUUUUUGUCAAUUGUACAUUUAAAAUCCUUUUACAGUAAGUCUAAGGGAAUACAAUUCCAUUAAAAUAUUACUUGACUAUUCUAUGUUAUUUCAUGAUGAGUCUACUUUGUCACCAGACCAAUGGGUGAUUUUAUGUCUAUGCUGCUAAAAUUCUGCUGAUAACGUAUUAUUCCAAUGCUCGGGAAAGAAAUAAAAAGUUAUCUUACAAGUUUCUUAUCGAUUAUUCCAUGUGCUGGAACUUUUUAUCCAAGUCAUUAUUGUUACUGAUGGAGAGCGAAUAUUACGACGUGGUAAUCUUGGUUGUCAGGUAAAUCUUUUAAAUUCUACUAGCUAUUAGAUUUGUUUUCUAAUAGUGUGUUAUUUGAACAAUUGGAUGGAACUAAUUAGAGAGACAAUACUGACUAUCUCUUACUUUACUUGUACACGGUACCAUGUUGAUAACAUACUUGACCGAAAGUUCCAAUGUAGUUUCAGGGAAUUAUUAUAGUGCUCUUGGAGGUGUUCGUCCCUCAUCCUGAUUAUGUUAGUAUUACUAGCAUUACCAUUUAUGUGUUUUCUUUUUUAUUUUCAUUCUUACUGUUAUUACUAAUCUCAUACAUUCUCUUUUUGAACAAAAGUAUCGAUAAGAGGCUCAACUUUUUUUCCAUUUCCCUUCUCUGCUAUCUCUUUCUUGGUCUUUAGAUUUUAUGCUAUAUUCCUAAUUAAAUCGGGGUAGUCUCUCAUCUAUCUCUUUCUCGGUCUUCAAGUUCUCAUUUUUUUAGCAACUUUUUGGUACCUUAAUCAUCACAGUAAUUUUUUGUUGAUUAGCUUAUUGAUCUUAAUAGAGUUGGGAUCGGCUGUGUUUAUUUACUUUGACAAAAAGCUAAAAAGAGGUGAAUGUUACGCCAACUGAUAAUUGUAGUACCAGUUGAUUCAUUUGUGUGUGGCCUUUAAUAGAUUAUUUGGAGUUUUGCUGAAUUGAGCUAAGAAUUUUCCAGAAUAAAGUUUAUUGUUCAAUCUAAAAUCAAUCUCCAGAUAAUAGGAGUCCCCAUCAGUUAUUUGUUUAAUGCUCUUUCAUUUCCCCCAUUUUGAUGGAAACUCUUGGCUCUGUUUCGAACCAGUUAUAAUUUUCAUUAUGUCUAUUUGUAUUGUCGAUUCUGUUUUGCACUUUUUUUUUAUGAUCAUAUUUAGUAAUUUAUAAACUUUAUGCAUAAUUAAAUAAGUUUAUUGACACUUGAAGCUUCAACCUAGGAAACUAUAUUGAGUUUUCUUUAAAUUCUCAUGCUUGUGGUAUUUGAGUUUGGUUUUCUAGCUGCUCCACUUUGACCCACUUGGGCAGUUUGAUAGUUUCAAAUUUCUGAGCUUAGUUCGCUUGGCAAAACUAUUUUGUACAACUUUCCUUGGUCAAACUUUUCCUUUGCUUUUUUAAAUGCGUUUUGCAAUCUUUUACUCCAAUCUAUUGGCCAUCCUUUUUUACUAUUAACAUUGAGAAUUGUCAAAGUGAUCUCUUGUUUGUUUUUCUUAAUAACAGGGGUGAGGCUCUUAAUCAAUCACAAUUGUUGUCGACCAUGGAGGAGUUUGAAGGCCCUAAAUCAUAGUUAUUAUUUUUCUUAUCAUAUGUAUAUGAAUACAAUGACAAUGAACGAUGAAGUAUUGUGUAAUACAAAUUAAUUGAUAUUUUGGUAAUGGAAGUAUAUAUAAUAUUCAGUUUGAGAAAUA
rnacentral:lncRNA from 1 species